AAAACAUUGAAGAGGUCAUCGGGUUGUGACUUACUGACUUUUCAUAUCCGAAUCGGAGAUCUCUCAAUCCGAUUUACAUUUAUGAUCUACAAAAAUGGGGGCUGAUAAACUCUUUAAGUUUCAUCAGCCAAGAUCAACUCUAGGGCAUGUCUUGUAAGGACGGACAUCUCUCUCAAAAACUCAAAUGUUGCAGCUAGGGAUGUUAAAAAGGGCUUAAACUUACAGGGUUGCCCAGCUCGUGUCAAAAUUAUAAAUCUGUGGGCCCUGUUUUUUAUGUAAAAUUAAAUUGAGUUGAUAAAGGGCCGAGUAUAAUAAAUUUCGAGUUGGCCCUGUUACAUUUUUUCUAAACAACAAAACUUUUUUUUUCUCAGUUCUUCUCUUCUUCUCUAGCCACAAAAGACGAUUCCUUGAUUCACUAACACAAUAACGCACAAGUUCAUGCUUCACAAUCUCUUCAAGCUCUAAUUGGGUUCAAUAUGGAUUUACAGUCAUUAGAAACAAUUGCAACUCUAAAUGCUGAAAAUGAUUACAUGGAGAUGGAGAUGAAUGAAGAAGGUUAAGCAAGUAUGACACAGGGACAAGCAAGUAUGACACAGGGACAAGCACAAAGCAUGACUCAACCAACACAAACACCUAGGCCACGACCAGCUCGAUGAACUCGGAGAAGGACUCCACGCAUUCAACCGGUACGUCCAAAAAAACUAAGAGCUAAAUGUUGGCUAGAGUUUACUUCCGUAGGAAUAGAGGAAGAUGGAAGAGAAAGGGCUAGAUGUCACCAUUGUGGUAUUAAGUUAGUAAUAGAUACCAAGUCAUUAGGAACAUCAACAUUGACUCGCCAUCUAGGUCUUUGUCCUAAUAGACCUCCACCUGUUGAUAGACCUCAGUAUGAUAACAAAGUUGAUAGAGAGAUGACUUCCAAGAUCAUCAUAUAUCAUGAUUUGCCUUUUAGAUAUGUUUAAUAUGAGAAGGUUAGGGCUAGGGAUAUAUUUCUCAAUCCGGACUGCAACAUAUAUGUAGACAAACUGCUGGAGCUGAUGUGUAUAAGAGAUAUGAGAUAGAAAAAGCAAAAUUGAUAGAGUUUUUCUCUAAAUACCAAGGCAGAGUGUGUUUAACAGCGGAUUUGUGGUCUGCUCGUUAUACAGUCAUGGGUUAUAUUUGUGUUACUGCACAUUACAUUGAUGAUAGCUGGAGGUUAAUCAAUAAGAUUUUGGCUUUUUGUCAUUUCAAACCUCCACACAAUGGUGAAGAAAUUGUUAAGAAAAUUUAUGAUUGCUUAAAGAUGUGGGGUUUAGAAAAGAAGGUUUUUUCUAUCACUUUAGAUAAUGCUAAAGCCAAUGAUAGUAUGCGGAAGAUUAUUAAGCAUCGUCUUGGUAAUGGGCUGUUGUGUGAUGGAAAGUUUUUGCAUGUGAGAUGUUCAGCUCAUAUCCUGAAUUUGAUAGUUAAAGCAGGGUUGGAUGUAGCCAGUAGUCUUUUGGAGAAUAUUCGAAAUAGUGUAAAAUUUGUAAAAGGAUAUUAGUCGAGGAAAGAAUCAUUUGCAACAUGCAUUGAGAGCUUAGGAAUCAAAGGUGGAGCUGGGUUAUCUUUGGAUGUUGCAACUCGUUGGAACUCAACAUAUGAGAUGUUGGCUAGAGCUUUAAAAUUCAGAAAAGCGUUUGGUAUUUUGAAUUUGUAUGAGAGAGAUUACAAUUCAUUACCAUCAGAGGAAGAAUGGGAUCGAGGUGAGAAAAUAUGUGACAUGUUAAAACCAUUUUAUACCAUCACCACAUACAUUUCAGGAGUGAAGUAUCCAACAACCAAUGUUUAUUUCAUUCAAGUGUGGAAAAUUGAGUUGUUGCUGAAGAAAUAUUCUAUUUGUGAUGAUGUUUAUGUGAGAGCAAUGGCUCAAAUGAUGCGAAAGAAGUUUGCAAAGUAUUGGAAUCAAUUCAGUAUCAUUCUUGCUAUGGGAGCAUCUUUGGAUCCAAGAUUGAAGUUGCAAAUACUUGAGUCAGCUUAUGACAAGGUCGAUUCAAGCACUUCCAAGGAAAAAGUUGAAAUUGUUAGGAAGAAUCUGGUUCUGCUUUAUGAAGAAUAUAAUACUCAAUCUUUCAAAGUCUUCAACAACACCUACUCCAGAUGAGCUUAUCUCUGAAUCACCACUUGAGGAUGAUUUAAAUGAUGAUCUGUUUGAUCUUGAAAGUGGCCUCAAGUCUAGUUCAGGAAACCACAAAUCAAAUUUGGAAAUCUAUUUGGAUGAAUCUAGACUAGAGAUGAAGACUUUUACAGACAUGGAAGUGUUAAGUUUUUGGAAGGAUAAUCAACAUCGAUAUGGUGAUUUAGCUUCCAUGGCAUCUGAUAUUCUCAGCAUUCCAAUCACCACCGUAGCAUCAGAGUCAUCUUUCAGUGUUGGAGGUAGAGUUUUGAAUCCUUACAGAAGCCGACUUCUUCCCAAAAAUGUUCAAGCAUUAAUUUGCACUAGAAACUGGUUGCGUGGAUUUGCUGAGUUUGAAGGAGACAUUGAAGAUUAUUUUGAUGAUGAAGAUAAUAAUGAUCCAAAAAUAACAGGAGUUGGAGAGUCAAACACAUGAUGAGCAGGCAGAUGAAUCUGGUGUUGAGGACAAGUCCCACACAAAUGAGCUUAAUCAAUUCAGGGGCAAAUGGAAGAAUCUGAAGCGGAGAUUCUUAUUUUACUAUGUUUGGCGAGGAGAUCAAAACUGAGUUUAUUUUACAAUUUUACUAUGUUUGGCUUUUAAAUAGCAAUGAUAAACAGAUUUGAGUUUGUUUUGAUUUGAAGUAUAUUUGAGUUUUGAAUUUUUAGAAAUGUUUUACAUAGCAUGAAAUUUGG